AUACGGAGGGUGCAAGCGUUAUCCGGAUUUAUUGGGUUUAAAGGGUGCGUAGGAGGUUUGAUAAGUCAGCGGUGAAAUAUUUCAGCUUAACUGGAAGGGUGCCGUUGAUACUGUCGAGCUUGAAUUUAGUUGCUGUGGGUGGAAUGUGUGGUGUAGCGGUGAAAUGCAUAGAUAUCGCUCAGAAUAUCGAUUGCGAAGGCAGCCAACAAUACUAAUAGUGUCGCGGAUCUCAGAAACGGUCGGGAUCAAACAGGUUUAGAAACCCUGGCAGUAGACACUGUAAACGAUGAUAACUCUGUGUCGGCGAUACGCAGGCGGGCGCCAAACGAACACUAUAAGUUAACCACCUGGGGAGUCCGCCUGUAACGUGGAAACUCAAACCGAAUGAGUAGA
rnacentral:rRNA from 1 species